UGUCAUAUUGUGCCUUGAGGGACGCAG
rnacentral:piRNA from 1 species